GCUCCUUCCGUCUCUCCCCAACGCAGAGCUACAAUGACGUGCCUGAGGAAAUGGUGAGGACUUCAGACCACUGAUCCAGAUACCUGGGCAUCACAGGAAGGAUACAUUCAUGCAAAAUGUUGCCUAUCGACACUCAAAGUUGUCAAUGAUACUGCAGAGAGGGGAGUGGCACUGAUCCAGGAAUACAAGAAGACACACACUAAGGAUGAAUAUGACCAGCAGUUUCUCUUGCAGGUUGUUUUUGAUCAUCGUCAGCUACAUGCUUUAGUGACUAUGACACCACAGAACUGUGUAUUAAAACAGAGUUUGUAGGUUGACUAUAAGAAUCACAUUUAACUAUAAGUGUUAGUGCAGUACGCUGUACAAUUUAUUGCAAAUAAACCAUUAUUACAUGUUCUAUGUU